rnacentral:rRNA from 1 species
CCCUUAGAUGUCCUGGGCUGCACGCGCGCUACACUGAUGUGUCCAGUAAGCACCUAACCUCUUCCGAAAGGAACGGGUAACCUUUGCAAAGCACAUCGUGAUGGGGAUAGAUUAUUGUAAUUAUUAGUCUUGAACGAGGAAUUCCUAGUAAGCACAAGUCAUCAGCUUGUGUUGAUUACGUCCCUGCCCUUUGUACACACCGCCCGUCGCUCCUACCGAUUGAAUGUUCCGGUGAGCUCUUCGGACUGCGCGGUCUGCAGUUUCUGCGUUCCGUGCGGAAAGUUGCGCAAACCUUAACAUUUAGAGGAAGGAGAAGUCGUAACA